rnacentral:rRNA from 1 species
UACGUAGGGUGCAAGCGUUGUCCGGAAUUAUUGGGCGUAAAGAGCUCGUAGGCGGUUUGUCGCGUCUGCCGUGAAAGUCCGGGGGCUCAACUCCGGAUCUGCGGUGGGUACGGGCAGACUAGAGUGAUGUAGGGGGAGACUGGAAUUCCUGGUGUAGCGGUGAAAUGCGCAGAUAUCAGGAGGAACACCGAUGGCGAAGGCAGCCCCCUGGGCUAACACUGACGCUCAGGCACGAAAGCGUGGGGAGCAAACAGG